AGAGUCGUUCUACGCGCGACACAGCGACAGACGAGAGUCGAGGCGCGUGCGGGAAACAUAUAGUAGAGAUCGGAUAGGACGGUAUAGAACGAGCGAGAAAUAAAAAAAUAUAAAAUAUAUACGUAUAUGUGGAAGGCUAGUAAAACGAGAUGCCUACACGAUGGUUAACGGACGGAAUAUUGAGAGAGCGAGCAAACGAGAUAAGAAAGAAAGAAAAAAAAAAAAAAAGAAAAGAAACGAGAAAUGAGAAAGAAAGAGAGAUGAUAGAGUAUGAGAGAAAAUUGUUGAAAGAAUUUUGAGGGCAAGUAACGGCGGGCGAGUGGGGACACUGAAGAUGCCGGUCGAAAAAACGAUCCCAGAAGUGUCCGAAAAGAUAUUUAAUUUCAGGAAAUUUUCGCGAUAGGAAACAUGGUGGAUUCGUAAGUGGCACGAAAUGAGAGAGGUAAAAUUUUGACGUGCCGCCGCGACUAAUGGUGUCGAAGAAAAUGGCGGGGAAAAUCAGUGGUGAGGAUGAAAAUGUCGGAGCGGGAUAGAGCGCGUCAAAUUAAACUUAACAAGUUUUAAUGCCCAAUUACGGAGUUACACCUACCUGGCUGGCUCUUAUUUCUGUUGGCGUAAUAAGCCACGGUAAUUGAAAUUUACGAGCGUGUUUUACGCGGGCCGGUUCGUAAACAGGGAAAAAGCGGUGUCCAGCCAGCGUUUGAGACGCGCUAAUUCGACGAAGUAAGACGAAUGAAUUUUAAAUUUUCUCGUAACACUCGUGUAUAUAUAUUCUGUCACCUAUGCAUUUAACUUUUCUUUAUAUUUUUUCCUUUCGAUAAAUUAUUGGCAAUGAAAAUUUAUUUUAGAAACUCUUUACGAUGCGAGUAAAACAUCCAAAAAUAUUACAUGCGUAUUUUUUCAAAUACCUUAAUUAAAAUGGGUGAUAAAUUUGUCUUAGGAAUUUGAUAAAUUCAGGGAAAAAUAUUAAUAUUUCGACUUGCAUUUUAUUUUCAAAAAAAUUCAAUUGAUAAAGAAAAUAUUGGCAACAAAAUUUGAAUUCCUCGUUCUCUCUUAGAACUCUGUUCGUUCAAUUUUUUUAUUGAAAAUAAUACGAUAAAAAGAUUGCUUUAUUUUGCGUAUCAUCGUUAAAACCAUUACCGAUUAAACGAUAUCCUUCUACCAAACGACAAAAAGUAAAUAAACCGUGGAGGAGAGGGGGGGGGACGAGAAUUCGAAACUCUGAAAUUUCACUCGAUUCCACGAAAAGGUACAACUUCAUUAAAAAAAAAAAAAAAAAAAAGGAGAAAGAUCUCCACGUAUCCCCAUCAAGCAAAUAUAAACCCAGUCGAGUAAUUUCAACUUUUCCGGCAAAUUAAAAACCUCCAUUAACAAAAUCACGAGAUGUCCGCCGCCGCCAAACGAGGGUCAAAUUCCAACCCCUUGCGUAUUACAUUCGCUCCAGGGAUCCGGCAAAGCUUCGACGUGGAGUCUAACGAGAAGUUAAAGACCGAAAUGGCCGAGGGUUAAAGGGAGGCCGAGCUCGACGUCGCAUUGAAAAGGCGAGAGUCCAACGAUGAUCCUCCUCCUCCCCCUUCCUUUUUUUCCACCAGUGCGAGCUUUUUAAUUACCGGAAGGAUUAAGGGAGAUUUCAAAUUAGAACCGAGUUUUUUUGUCUUGCGAAAAAAGAAAAGAAGAGGAGAGAAAAGAAGAAGAAGAAGAAGAAGAAGAAGGGGAGGUAAAAUGUUAAUCCGCAAGCCGGAGUCGACUUGAGAAUCUCACGAUUCGUCGAAACUUUAUCGUCCAACCGGAUACGGUUCCUCUUUCAAAAGGAAACACGUGUUCUCUCUGUAAUUACGUCGCUUGAGAAAGAAAAAGAUAUAUCGUGGGACAGAGGAGAGAGGGAGAGGAGGGGAGGAAGGGGUCUCUGUCAGGGCAAAAAAAAAAAAAAAAAAAACCGUUCCAACGCAUCGAUGUCGAACGAAUAUCGCCUCGUUUUAUUGGCCUCCUGCUUGCCAACCGGAGAUUAUAUCGGUUUCCGGAAAAAGAGGUUUUGUUUCGGGCUGUUCGAUUGUGACUUCGAUGAUUAAAGUUGGAAACGGUGGACGAUUAUUCGGAUGAAAGAGGAAUGAAGAAAUUGGAAUGGAUGGGGAGUUUUAUGGUUUUUCUAAAUUUGAAAUUUAGAGAACCAUUUGGCAAUAUUUCGAUGGGCAAUAUUG